UAAGCGAAGCAUGAAAUCUUGUGGCUCAACCAUGAGGCUAUGCUUUGAACUGCUUAGCUUGAGCACGAGAGAGGUAACUGGAAUUCCUAGUGUAGGAGUGAAAUCCGUAGAUAUUAGGAGGAACACCGAUGGCGUAGGCAGGUUACUGGCUCGUUGCUGACACUAAGGCACGAAAGCGUGGGAGCAAACGGGAUUAGAUACCCCGGUAGUCCACGCCGUAAACGAUGGAUGCUA
rnacentral:rRNA from 1 species